rnacentral:rRNA from 1 species
UACGUAGGUGGCAAGCGUUGUCCGGAUUUACUGGGCGUAAAGAGCGCGCAGGCGGUCGUUCAAGUCGCGUGUGAAAGCUCCCGGCUCAACUGGGAGAGGUCCUUGGAUACUGGCGGACUUGAGGGAGGCAGAGGAAAGUGGAAUUCCCGGUGUAGUGGUGAUAUGCGUAGAUAUCGGGAGGAACACCAGUGGCGAAGGCGGUUUUCUGGGCCUUACCUGACGCUGAGACGCGAAAGCGUGGGGAGCGAACCGG